CCAAGUUCCCUUACAGCCCUG
rnacentral:miRNA from 1 species